AGGUUAUUCCGAGCAUCACAGAAGUCAUCUGAGAAGAACGGAAGGACCUUAAUGAGCUAUGCUUGUUACUGGUCAUUAAUUAUAAUGAACCCAAAGCACUUCAGACACGUUCGAUUCCUGUGUGUUAUACGUAUUUCUCAGUUGUGUUUGGCGAGCACGCGAAUUCAGGACGACUCGGGUUCGUACGACGAAGCGAAGCAGAGCACUUUUGAUCAAGGUCACGAGACACACUUCCAGUUCACAUGGGGUGGUGAGGCUGAACUCCUGUGCCCUCUCCUGCACACUGUAGUCUUUGUUUGCCUGUUGCUAUGGCAACCAUCUCUUUCUCUCAGGUGACUAGAUGUAGGAUUUCAGGUUCACCCAAGAAGUUCUCUCUCUCUUUCUCUCUCUCUCUCUCUCUCUCUCUCUCUCUCUCUCUCUCUCUCUCUCUCUCUCUCUCUCUCUCUCUCUCUCUCUCUCAAAAUGACAUUGUUUUUCUUCGGUAUAAAUACAUACAUCAGGCGGUGAAGAUUUUUCCAGUAUAUAAGAUUUUCCCAAUAACAUGUGAAGGCAACAUGUGAUGAAGCGCUGCAGCCUUCUGUUCUCUUCUUUAUUUAGCAUAGUGAAGCCAAAAGCAGAAUAACUUUGCCUUCUUCAGUGGUAUCCACCAGCCAAGCCAAAAAUAACCCACAACACACACAUACACCGACAGAUGAGUGUUUAUACUGUCAAGUGCAGGAGGGCAUGCUGGGAUGGAUUCCAGAUGUUGUACAGGAACACUGUGUCCAUACAUAGAGUACAGUGGUUCCCAGGUCUGCUCCUAGAUACCCCCUGCUCUGCAUAUGUAGCUAUGUAGCUUCUCUAACACACCUGAUUCAGCAUUUUGAGCCUCCCAAUUCAAGAACUUUAGUUUAUUUUCACAUGAAACAUCAGCAUGUCAUCUCAGUGACAGUGCAGGAAUGAUGUACAAGUGUUCCUUAUAAAGUGGCCAGCAUGUGAAACACGUGUGUGUGUGUCUGUGUGUGUGUGUGUGUGUGUGUAUGAAUCUGAGGCAGAGAACUGGUAAUUUUCCACCUGAUGUCUUACCCUUUUGGGAUGUUGUGUAUAUUCUUCCAUUAGCAAUAUUUCUAAAGAACAUUAUACAAAAAAUAUCAUCACUGUUCUAUUUUUCCGCUCGAUACCCACCGGUGGUAUUUGGUUUAUGAUCUCCGGUCAUACGGCUCCUUGCCGCACAGUACACCGUAUUCUGCUGUGAUAAACAAUUCAAUCCUUCUCAGGGUGUUAUGCUUUAUUCACAGCCCAGGUUAGAUAAGGAUAGACUGAACCCUGAGUGGCCUCCUUUCUUUUACAUAAGUGUUCUCUCCACAUCUCACGACUGAAUGUCUUAAUUCACUUUGCGUUAUUUUUGUUAUUAUUGUAGACACUGAUCCAUAAAAAUCAUGAUAUAAUCAUUAAAACCUUCUACUCAGUAGGAUGUGAGAAAAGAUAUGUGAGAGCUAUGAUUUGUGAAUAUUGUGUAUUAUGUAUUGUGUAUUAAAGCUUAAUACACAGAAUAUUAAAGUGUACAUGGAUGAAUAUUAAACUUCAGCACGCUUGUGAUGGUGUCGCUAUCACAAAUCAGUCGGUUAGUCGUUUAGAGGCAGUGAGAGUCGAUGAAACGGCAAAAUACUUUCUCUCUUCAGCUGGAUCCUUUGAAAGAGCAUCAGACAGUGUGAGACUGUA